GCCUCUGGAGGAAAAGUCUUUUUCUUUAAAAGUGGGUGCUUUUGGUGGAAGCUUCCUGAGCUAUCAAGCCAUUUAUGAAAUUGGAGCCAGGGGUCAAAUUUUUCUUUUUAAAGAUGAUAAGUACCGUUUAAUUAGUGAUUUAAAACCACAGCCAAACUAUCCCAAGAGCACACAUUGUCUGGGCUUCCCUGAAGCCCAGGAAAAGAUUGCUGCUGCUGUUUUUAAUCCACCAAUCUACUUUUCUCUUUGUGCAUAAACAUAUGGAAGGUGAGAUGACAGGAGAAAAUUUGUGGACCUUUGUUAUUCCAUCUUGAUUACUGAGAAAUUUCCAGGAAUUGGACCUACUCCAAAGGAUGCAACUGUUUCUUCCAAGGAUGUAAUCAACUUGAAUAAGACAAGCCAUCCAACCACAUUACCGGAAGUUGGGAAGAAAUACUGGGUUUGGCUAUUGGGAAUGGUGUGAAGAAACAGAAAGCCAACUGCUCCGAGUCGAAGUGGACAGAGAUCAUCCCAAUGUAGAGAUUCUUAUAAAAAUAUCCCCCAGCUACAUACACCAAACAGAGCACACAGGCCAGGUUCCUACAAAGAGAAAAUUCUUUGAAUCAGAACAAGGAUGGCAAGGAAGGCCAGAAGCAAACAAGCACGUUCCUAGCUAUCAUUGCUGAGUUUAUGGUUCUUUUUUUUUUUUGGACUUUCUUGAGUUUAUGGCCCUUGAAACACAUCUGCUACCAAAGGCUGCAGAGAGUAAACACAUUAUGUCGAGGAAGUACCAGAUCACUGAGGCCGGCGCUCGACCACAAGUUACUUGAGAUGCAGUUGACAAGCAACGUUGUGUAAGUUGAAGGUGGAGGAGGGGUUGGCUUGAUACACCUUGCAAAAUGUUUACCUCAGUAAGAUGAGGACAGAGGUUCAAAGAGGUUGAGCAACUGCCCAGGAUGGAACUGUAGGCAAGUGACAGAGCCGGGAUCACAAGCCAGGUCUUCAGACGCCUGGCCCACGGCUCAACCCAUCACCUCUCCCACCAACCUGAGGUCUCAACCCAAGAGCCACAUGGAACGCUGCUCCGGGGCCAAGAGCUGGCUUAACUCUCCGCAGAGUACAUGCUAUCAGAUAAA